UGAGUAACACGUAUCCAACCUGCCGUCUACUCUUGGACAGCCUUCUGAAAGGAAGAUUAAUACAAGAUGGCAUCAUGAGUCCGCAUGUUCACAUGAUUAAGGUAUUUCCGGUAGACGAUGGGGAUGCGUUCCAUUAGAUAGUAGGCGGGGUAACGGCCCACCUAGUCUACGAUGGAUAGGGGUUCUGAGAGGAAGGUCCCCCACAUUGGAACUGAGACACGGUCCAA
rnacentral:rRNA from 1 species